CCCUUAGACGCUCUAGGCGGCACGCGCGCUACAAUGGGUGGUAGAACGUGUAACUGCUCCCGAAAGGGAGGGUGAACCACGAAUACUUACCCGUGAAUGGGAUAGUUUGUUGCAAUUUUCGGACUUGAACUAGGAAUCCCUUGUAAGAAUGCUCAAGAAUAGCGUGCUGAAUACGUCCCUGCCGUUUGUACACACCGCCCGUCGUUUCUUCCGACUGAUACUCAUUGUGAGUUGCAAGGAUUCUUAUUGAAAAAUUGCUGCGAAUGCUUUGUAUUGGGGGAAGAAAAAGUCGUAACA
rnacentral:rRNA from 1 species